CUUGCCAUCUGUCCUCAAUAGUGAUGCAACAUUAUCUGUAUGCUAUUUAUCCAUGUGAUGCAACAUUUUAGUAAACUUUUUAAACUGUUUGUCAAAUUUAAAAUUACGCUCCCUUGUGAAAUUUAUUGACAGGAUCUAUGCUAUAAGGACCUGGAGCAUCUAUUCUGAAAUCAUAGCUACAAGUUGUUGCUGUUGAUGGUGCCAUGGUGGUGCACAAUGUUUUUGGACUUCUCUGAGCUAAAGGUUCAUUCAAGAUUAACCAAUGAUUCAUGUUCGCAUAUUCAGAGGAGACAUACCCAGGUCAAGCUUGCAUGGUCUCUGUUUGUUGUGGCUGCUGACAUGGUCGACGCUGAACUAGAAUUAACCCUGGUUCCAGCUUAUUUGUAGUAUUAUUAUUAUAGCAUGUCCUAAUAUCUACCAUUAAACUGGCAACACCAUUGAACUGUUGCUUGCCUACCUAGUGCCAGCGCCAACGCCAUUUCCAUGUCCACUAUUUAUUAUCUGGUAUAUGACGAUGAGCAGAGUGAAGCCUAGUAUUGCUGUUGCACAAAUAGAUUGCUUGCCACUUUGCUACCUGAAACAGAGUCUCGAUUCCAUUCAGACGCUUUUCUGACUCUUUAUUUAUUAGGGGCCCGUGUAAGAACAAAAAAAUAAAGCUCCAAUUAAGUAUGGUAUUUUGUUUUUGUUUCAUGCUCUUUGUAGCUGACGGGUUGGGCUGUGCUUGGAUGGGCCAUGUUGUAGCUUACAGACAGUCUGCGUACUAACUCAGCCUCCGUAUUACAAGUUCAAAAGAAUUGCCGCGUAGUUCACAAACCUGGGACUAAACAUUUCAUUAUUUUUGCUCUUGACGACUUUUACUUGGACUUUCAGUUUCAAUAAGCCACAUCCUUGUAUAAAACUUAACACUGUCAUGCACCUGUUUACGCGUAUGCCUAUGAUAGGGUUAGGACCUGCCGCACCUUUAGAAUAAAUACAUCUGAGAUGAUAAUAUUUCUGUUAAAGUGUUAACACUGAUAUUUCUGAGCUAUCUUCAAUAGUGAGGUGGUCCCCUCCUUGCUCGUCGAGAUCGCCCUCAUCCUCCGUGUCGCCAACGAGGCCGAGGCCAGCAACCCACGAGUCGCCUACCUAUGUACCAGAGGCUGGCCAGAUACUCCAUUGACAUCUCUAGCUCCCACAUGUCGCCCCUGGGCUGGAGCGCCCUCGUGGGCGAUCGGCAUCCUCCUGGUGGCGCUGCUCCUCACAAGUGUUAAGUUGGAUUACCGCCUCAUGUUGAUGGCAUUGUUUCUUUUUGGUCUAAUGUCGCUUAGGUUGCUGCUGCUGUGAUGGAAGCGCACCACAACUUUAGUUGAUGUGUAUCUUUUUUUGCUUGUUUUAGUUGAGGUUGGACGUGCAGAC